CAGUCGAACGCUUUGUCUUUAUUGAUCUGACGAGCUUGCUCUGAAGUGACUUUCUCUGACAAAGAGUGGCGAACGGGUGAGUAACACGUGGGUAACCUACCUCUUAGCAGGGGAUAACAUUUGGAAACAAGUGCUAAUACCGUAUAAUACCAACAACCGCAUGGUUGUUGGUUGAAAGAUGGUUCUGCUAUCACUAAGAGAUGGACCCGCGGUGCAUUAGCUAGUUGGUAAGGUAACGGCUUACCAAGGCAAUGAUGCAUAGCCGAGUUGAGAGACUGAUCGGCCACAAUGGGACUGAGACACGGCCCAUACUCCUACGGGAGGCAGCAGUAGGGAAUCUUCCACAAUGGGCGCAAGCCUGAUGGAGCAACGCCGCGUGUGUGAUGAAGGGUUUCGGCUCGUAAAACACUGUUAUAAGAGAAGAACGGCACUGAGAGUAACUGUUCAGUGUGUGACGGUAUCUUACCAGAAAGGAACGGCUAAAUACGUGCCAGCAGCCGCGGUAAUACGUAUGUUCCAAGCGUUAUCCGGAUUUAUUGGGCGUAAAGCGAGCGCAGACGGUUAUUUAAGUCUGAAGUGAAAGCCCUCAGCUCAACUGAGGAAUGGCUUUGGAAACUGGAUGACUUGAGUGCAGUAGAGGAAAGUGGAACUCCAUGUGUAGCGGUGAAAUGCGUAGAUAUAUGGAAGAACACCAGUGGCGAAGGCGGCUUUCUGGACUGUAACUGACGUUGAGGCUCGAAAGUGUGGGUAGCAAACAGGAUUAGAUACCCUGGUAGUCCACACCGUAAACGAUGAGUGCUAGAUGUUCGAGGGUUUCCGCCCUUGAGUGUCGCAGCUAACGCAUUAAGCACUCCGCCUGGGG
rnacentral:rRNA from 1 species